CCCAGAUGCUACGUGGAGGAAAAGAGGAAACCAGAUGAAUGAUGAUGAGUGAAUUUUAAGAGAAAAGUCAGACAGAAGGAAAGUGGACAGCUGAAGACAUGAGAGGGGAGAGCGAGAGAAUGACAUGCAGCAAAGGGCCGCAGGGCGGAGUCGAACCUGCGGCCGCUGCGACGAGAAGUAAACCCUCCUCCUCUAUAUGUGCGCGCCUGCUUUACCAGAUGUGUUGACAGCGUGGAGAAAUUGAAUUAGCAGCUGCAGCGCUGGGAACAUUGAAUCAUAUUAGGAGCGCAGCAGAGGAGCAGAGGCUACCUGCAGGCCGGAGGGAGAGGCUUUUUACCUCUGCUUUCAUUCAGUCGGAGGGAGAGCUCACCCAACACGGAGGACUAGAUCAGAUCAGAAAUCCUUCAACAUGACAGAAAACUAAAUGACAUCCACGGAAUAUUCACAACUUCUCAUCAAGACUAGAAAAACAAAACCAUGGGGGGGGGGGGAGUCUUUAGUUUCGAUUUCAACAGUUGGCAUAGUCAUGUCAUAUUUUAGUGUUUGAUUAUUGUCAAAACCCCAGUAUAAUCAGUAUAAUAACAUUUCUAAUUCUAAACGCCGAGACAUGAAUUUACCUAAUGUUAUGAAAAUAAUCAAGUUUUAACAAGUUUCAAAUCAGCCUAUGUUGCGACGAAAUAUGAUUGCAAAAUCGAAGAUAAUAUUUUUCUUUGAGAUCUAAUUAUUUGCGCAGUGAAAGACGCAGUGAAAAUGAAUGAAACAUCUGCAAAUGUGUUCUUGUGCAGUAAUGUCACAUAAUUCCGUCGUUGGUCAAGUAAGUGAGUAGAAUGGCGAGACAUGAGUGGAGUCAGACUUCAUCGCAAUGCAAAUAACCGCGCCCCCCCCCCCCCCUUUAAAUAGUCAACUGUCAUAAUGUCUUCUAUCAGAUUAUGUUGCACACUAUGCAUUCCUGUUUGCUAAUUUAAAAUGAAAGUGAGCCUAUACAUGUAGUAGCCUAAACUGAGUUCAGGUAAGUUGAUCCGUGCUUCCUCUUCUGUACAGGUAAGUGCUUUAUUAGGCCUUGUACAAUCACAUAACCCUAAAACAGCACUGAGAAUGGACACUGAUUAAUGUGUUUCUAGAAGGAUAAAUAUGGAGGAUGAAACUGAAGCUGAUCCAGAAAAAAACCCUGCUCGUGUUCCUGAUUCAAAUCAUAUCUCAUUCCAAUCUGACAGCAGCACGCUGCAGCUCUGAUCAGUGAGCACAUCUCCGGCUUUGUCUUGGACAUUUUACACUGCACAGGUCUUGACACACUGAUGGUGAGUUUUAGUGGUAACAAAGCUGUCUCUGUGCCAGUGGCUCUCAACGUUUGGUUCAGGGACCUCCUGAUGGUGCCUAUACAGAGGUGUAGGAAAAAGGGGCACGAGUUUAGUUUCAGCAUCAUUUAACCAACCAGAAAUGUUCUUGAUGAGAGUAAAGUCUAAAAAUUAACCAUACAUAUGUCAUGUUUUAGAUGGGUGUACAAUUUAAUAAUGAUUCAAAGAUGAAAAUGUUCAUUCACAGUUAUAAAUGGAUCUAUCUGCAGUGUAAUGGGAGGCGGGGGGUUAGGAUCUAUAACAUAGACCUCCAAAUGGCCUUGGGCCUUGUGCCAGUUUGUGUAAGUUUCCUGCAGCAGCUGAUCAGCAACAAAUCAUUGAAAUCAUGUGAUGCAAAACAGCUAAUCUUUAUGGCAUACCUCUCUGAAUUUGAUUGUAAUCAUUCUAAAUAAUACUGCGCUCCUCUGGGUUUCUCAGUGAAUUGUAAUAUUAUUUAUUUCAUUUAAAAUGAACUGAACUACACAAACCUUCUCACAACAUGUAUGCCAUACAACCCAUGUUGCAGUUCAAUAUGAAACAUUUUCAAGGACUAAAUCUGAUGAAAUGUAUUUGAGGUCCAGGCCAUGCAACCCCCCCCCCCCCAUUGUUUUCUAAGUCUUUCCAUUCACAGGGCAGACGUGGUGGAGUUUAAGGAUUCACCGGCAGACGGUGUGAUGGUGGAACAUGCAGGAAUCAUUCAAGGUCCCACACACAGUGAACAGUGAGUUGCCCAGAAAACUAAUUACCUAAAGUGUCUGGUGUAGUUGAGCUGUGACGUGAGGAGUCCAUGCAUUCUGGUCAUUGGCGCCUCUUUUUUCAUGUUUCCUACUUCUCUUUUUUUUUUUUUUAUUUUUUUU